rnacentral:misc_RNA from 1 species
GAUGAAGAACGUAGUGAAAUGCGAUAAGUAAUGUGAAUUGCAGAAUUCAGUGAAUCAUCGAAUCUUUGAACGCACAUUGCGCCCGCCAGUAUUCUGGCGGGCAUGCCUGUUCGAGCGUCAUUGCUGCCCUCAAGCACGGCUUGUGUGUUGGGCCUCCGUCCUCCUCCCGGGGGACGGGCCCGAAAGGCAGCGGCGGCACCGCGUCCGGUCCUCGAGCGUAUGGGGCUUCGUCACCCGCUCUUGUAGGCCCGGCCGGCGCUUGCCGACACAUCAAUCUUUUUUCCAGGUUGACCUCGGAUCAGGUAGGGAUACCCGCUGAACUUAAGCAUAUCAAUAAGCGGAGGA